rnacentral:rRNA from 1 species
CUCGUAGGCGGUUCCGUAAGUCAGGUGUGAAACCUCCAGGCUCAACCUGGAGACGCCACCUGAUACUGCGGUGACUGGAGUCCGGUAGGGGAGCGUGGAAUUCCUGGUGUAGCGGUGAAAUGCGCAGAUAUCAGGAGGAACACCAGCGGCGAAGGCGGCGCUCUGGGCCGGUACUGACGCUGAGGAGAGAAGCGUGGGUAGACAAACGA